rnacentral:tRNA from 1 species
GAAGGUAUGGGAAAACUACGGAACAGGCCAUAAAAUAGACUGAAAAUCCCCGUGUGGGCGGUUCGAUUCCGUCCCUCGUCA